GACGAACGCUGGCGGCGUGCCUAAUACAUGCAAGUAGAACGCUGAAGAGAGGAGCUUGCUCUUCUUGGAUGAGUUGCGAACGGGUGAGUAACGCGUAGGUAACCUGCCUUGUAGCGGGGGAUAACUAUUGGAAACGAUAGCUAAUACCGCAUAACAAUGGAUGACACAUGUCAUUUAUUUGAAAGGGGCAAUUGCUCCACUACAAGAUGGACCUGCGUUGUAUUAGCUAGUAGGUGAGGUAAUGGCCCACCUAGGCGACGAUACAUAGCCGACCUGAGAGGGUGAUCGGCCACACUGGGACUGAGACACGGCCCAGACUCCUACGGGAGGCAGCAGUAGGGAAUCUUCGGCAAUGGGGGCAACCCUGACCGAGCAACGCCGCGUGAGUGAAGAAAGUUUUCGUAUCGUAAAGCUCUGUUGUAAGUCAAGAACGGGUGUGAGAGUGGAAAGUUCACACUGUGACGGUAGCUUACCAGAAAGGGACGGCUAACUACGUG
rnacentral:rRNA from 1 species